GACGAACCGUGCGAACGUUGUUCGGAAUCACUGGGCUUAAAGGGCGCGUAGGCGGGCUACCAAGUCCGGGGUGAAAUCCUCCAGCUUAACUGGAGAACUGCCUCGGAUACUGGUGGUCUCGAGGGAGACAGGGGCAUGCGGAACCGUGGGUGGAGCGGUGAAAUGCGUUGAUAUCCAUGGGAACUCCGGUGGCGAAGGCGGCAUGCUGGAUCUCUUCUGACGCUGAGGCGCGAAAGCCAGGGGAUCAAACGGG
rnacentral:rRNA from 1 species